GUUGGCAUAUCAUCUCUUGGUAUAUACCUUCUUCUUUUCCCAGGAGCUCUACCAGUAGCCGGUGCAGAAGACGAGAGGGACCUAAGCGCUGCAUCUCAUUCCUCUCUUUUCAUCUCCAAGAACUCCUACUCGAGCAGUAACAGCGGGUAGGGAAAGAGCGCUUACUUUUACACCGGCUAGGAGAAGAGUAAGGGCUGAUUCAACUAGCACUGGUUACG
rnacentral:misc_RNA from 1 species